rnacentral:lncRNA from 1 species
AGGAAAACCCCCUUUCAAAAGGGAAAGAAUCAUGAACCCUAACAUUGUGCCGUCAAAAGCCCUAGUCUUAAGUAUUUCCAAUAAUCUCUCCUUUCUAGUUUUCGUUCCGACCACUGUGAAUCUUUGCUAUCAGAGAAUCACUAAUGAAGAAAGGCCUAUUUCUAGUCUUCGUUCAGAUGAAUUGUCAAUUUCACAAAGCAUUUUAAAUAUGGUAAACUCUACACUUUAAUUUUGGAUUUCAUCUUCUGAUUUUUUCCCCUUAUUCAUAUAUGCUACACCAUCUCUCUAUAUUGUCGAUUGCAACUGUUCUCAUAUGCUUCUUUUGUGUUCUGACUCCUCAUCUACAAAAUUUGUGUAAAGAGAUUCUCAAUGGUUCAGUGUUCUAUUUUGCAUGUUUUUCUUCCACUGAUGCAACUCACAACAAAAUUGAUUUG